rnacentral:rRNA from 1 species
AACCAGCUCUUCAAGUGGUCGGGAUGAUUAUUGGGCUUAAAGUGUCCGUAGCCGGUUUAGUAAGUUCCUGGUAAAAUCAGGUAGCUUAACUAUCUGUAUGCUAGGAAUACUACUAUACUAGAGGGCGGGAGGGGUCUGAGGUACUACAGGGGCAGGGGUGAAAUCUUAUAAUCCUUGUAGGACCACCAGUGGCGAAGGCGUCAGACUGGAACGUGCCUGACGGUGAGGGACGAAAGCCAGGGGAGCGAACCGGAUUAGAUACCCGGGUAGUCCUGGCUGUAAACGAUGCAUACUAGGUGAUGGCCCGGCCAUGAGCCGUGUCAGUGCCGUAGGGAAACCGUUAAGUGUGCCGCCUGGGAAGUACGGUCGCAAGGCUAAAACUUAAAGGAAUUGGCGGGGAGCACCACAAGGGGUGAAGCCUGCGGUUC